rnacentral:rRNA from 1 species
GACGAACGCUGGCGGCGUGCUUAACACAUGCAAGUCGAGCGGAGCGAGGGUGCUUGCACCUUAGCUUAGCGGCGGACGGGUGAGUAAUGCUUAGGACUCUGCCUAUUAGUGGGGGACAACAUUCCGAAAGGGAUGCUAAUACCGUAUACGCCCUACGGGGGAAAGGAGGGGAUCGUCGGACCGUGCGCGAAUAGAGGGGCCUAAGUCGGAUUGGCUAGUUGGUGGGGUAAAGGCCUACCAAGGCGACGAUCUGUAGCGGGUCUGAGAGGAUGCUCCGCCACACUGGGCCUGAGACACGGCCCAGACUCCUACGGGAGGCAGCAGUGGGGAAUAUUGGACAAUGGGCGGAAGCCUGAUGCAGCCAUGCCGCGUGUGUGAAGAAGGCCUUUUGGUUGUAAAGCACUUUAAGCGGGGAGGAGGCUCUUAAGGUUAAUACCCUUGAUGAGUGGACGUUACUCGCAGAAUAAGCACCGGCUAACUCUGUGCCAGCCGCCGCCGUAACAC